rnacentral:miRNA from 1 species
AUCACCUGGGGCUUUUGUUUUAAAUGCAGAUUCUGGUUAAGCAGCUGGGAACCAGGCCUGAGAUUCUGCAUUUCUAACAAGUUUCCUGGUGAUGCCA